AGAUUAAAGGGAACGUAGGGUCAAAAAUCAAAUUUUGAUAUGUGAAAACUAGUACCAUGCAGACAACAAAAUCUAGCAUAGAAAAAAUAAUUGCUGCUGAUAACAAGAUUUAAUCUGUCAUUUACACUGAAAACUGAGCUGAAUGGGAGAAUCUCUUAUCAUGGCGGCUGAUGACGUGUAUGCGGCAAUUCAUUACAACUGCUGUGCCUAGUACUAAAUGGGUUACAGAGUAUCUAUGAUCUAAAUGUCGGGAGUUCAAGCGAAAUUUUGCACUGUGGUCAAAGGAAAAGGAAUACAUGUAUCUACCUUUUAGCAUCCCUGAUCUCCCCCCAAAACUAUGAACAUUGUGCAAUAAUUGGAUACAUAACCUUGGAAAUGAAUCUUUUGUUUCUGAACGGCAUUUUGAGAAAGAGUCUUUUAAAGAGGAUAUCAGGGUAAGUAUACCAGUUAUAUUUGCUUUUUACUUAGUAAAUACUAAUAAUUCUUAAUGUGUAUAACCAGAGUUUAUUUACAACAAACUUUUACUUAUAUAAUAAUUUUCUAAUUUAAUCUAUCCUUAUCCAGUGAACAUUUUGUACAGGCUAAAUAUGAAGGGAUGGGUAAACACUGCUUUUUAAAUAUUCAAAGUUAAAUUAAUAUCUAUUUAAGUUAAGAUAUUGGGAUACACACCAAAACCUAUUAAAAAGAAGAUGCAGUAACUGAAAUAUUUGAUGGCAGCAAGUCUAAGAAAUAAGAGAAAAUAGCUCAAAAAGAUGAGGAAAAGGAAAAGCAGGAUACAUGUAAUACUUUCAAAAAUCAUCACAGCACUAGCACAUUUUGUAUUAUACUAUUGUUUUUAAAGAAAUUGAAAAUGUACAAGUAAACAAAUGAAGUAUAGUAUAUAUGAAGUAAGUAUAUAUAAUUAAUUAGUCAUUAUUUUUCAGCUAAUUCAUUUUCUUUUGGAAACCAAUGAAAACUCAUAUGCAGAACCUAUUGACCAACCUGGACUAUCAGCAUCUAAGGAAACAGCUCAAUGAAGACAUGAAUAGUGACAAAAAUAUCCCACUCUCAAUCCAUAUUGAAGAAUAAAUCAACUUUGUGCAACAUAUACAGAUAGAAUUGCCCAGUCAUUGUCCAUCAUAUGUGCUAAGGAAUGUUCAAGUGAAGAAUGAAGAAGUGAAGAUAAUGAACAAUCCUGUAUAAAGAAUACAAAAUUAAAAGUUUAAGAAUUAAGA